AUCGCUUUUCGGCCUGUUGGCUAAAAUCAAGUGUAGUAUCUGUUCUUAUCGGCUCGGUUAUUCACUUGGACCAUAUAUCCCAAAUGCCCUUCGGCUCUGUGUAUUUUUUGUAGGAUGAAGCUUU
rnacentral:snRNA from 1 species